rnacentral:rRNA from 1 species
GACGUAGGGGGCCAGCGUUGUUCGGAAUUACUGGGUGUAAAGGGUUCGUAGGCGGUGUGGCAAGUCGGGAGUGAAAUCUCUGGGCUCAACUCAGAGACUGCUUCCGAAACUGCUGUGCUGGAGUGUGGGAGAGGCGCGUGGAAUUGCAGGUGUAGCGGUGGAAUGCGCAGAUAUCAGGAGGAACACCGAUGGCGAAGGCAGCUCGCUGGGACGGUACUGACGCUGAGGCGCGAAAGCGUGGGGAGCGAACAGG